AGCGACCCGUCAAAUCGGGCCAUCACACAGGUGCUGCAUGGCUGUCGUCAGCUCGUGCCGUGAGGUGUUGGGUUCAGUCCCGCAACGAGCGCAACCCUCGCCCUUUGUUGCCAUCGGGUAAAGCCGGGCACUCUAAGGGGACUGCCAGCGACAAGUUGGAGGAAGGAGAGGAUGACGUCAAGUCAUCAUGGCCUUUAUGCCUAGGGCCACACACGUGCAACAAUGGCCGGUACAGACGGAGGCAAUGCCGAGAGGCGGAGCAAACCCGAGAAAACCGGUCCCAGUUCGGAUUGAGGUCUGCAACUCGACCUCAUGAAGUCGGAAUCGCUAGUAAUCGCAUAUCAGAACGAUGCGGUGAAUACGUUCCCGGGCCUUGUACACACCGCCCGUCACACCACGAAAGUUUGUUGUACCCGAAGUCGGUGCCUUAACCUCGCAAGAGGAGAGAGCCGCCCAAGGUAUGGCCGAUGAUUGGGGUGAAGUCGUAAC
rnacentral:rRNA from 1 species